CCGAAGGUCGUGCCUCGUGCACCUUCAGCUCAAGGGGUGUCCAAGCGCCAGCCAGCUUCGCCUGCCUUCUGGGAGGAGGUCACAGAUACGGAGCUGGUUGCCAUCUGCGACGUAGCCCCUCCCACUAACGACUGAGUUCCUUGAACGUGGUAAGCCGGUCCUGUACAGUUCCCUCAUGUCCAACAGCGCUCCCAACCAACGGCUGAACCGGCAAAGCAGCCUUCGCAAACGCAACCAGCACAGAGUGCUGAGGUGCUUCUUCCUGAAGCAUGGAAGCAGUCGCUGCCCAAGGAGCAGCAUGAGUGGAUCGCCAGGGCACUGUUCAUCAGGAACAGGAUUGGGAAGCUGGAGCUGACCUCGGACCUGCGUCUGUGGUGGUUCCCUCCCCAGCCCCGGCUGAUCCACA